AUCACCCAUGACAUGAAGAUUAGAUUGUAAAAGAAAUUUGGCAUUGAAAUGUGUUUGGGUUUGGGUUUUUGAAAAAGGGGAGGAGGAAUAAGAUGAAAUGGCUCAAGGAUAAGUCUUGUCUCAAUAUCCUCUAUCACUGAAAAACCAAUGAUCGAUGACUUCAAGAUGUAGAGGGAGAGAAGCUUAACAUCAUUUUGUUAAAUCAAUAUAAUAUUGUAUUUGAUCAACGUAUCAUUGGUUUCUCUUCUGGGAAAAAAAAACCUGCAUUCUUGCUCAUUCAUCUGAUAUUUUUUCUGGAAUCUGGGUUUGUGUACUUUUCAUUUUUGAUCGUCAAAGUUCUUAUCUUUUUGAAAUGCUAUUACACAAUAGUUGCUUUAAAACUAAAAUUUUAGAGAAUAUUACAGAGGAUCCUGAUCAAGAUAGGUAUAUGUGUAUGUAGUGAGCUGGUACUGCACUUUUGAACUGCUAAAAUCAAUUGUAAAAUUGGGAUUUGUUACAGGAGAUUCGGGCAAGAGAUGAACCAUACUUCAUGAAUCUAGCUAUCUAAAGAAUCGAUCUCAUUAUUGAAUCAUUAUUUUCGGGUUAGAUAUUGAAUGCAGGAUUAGUCUCCUCAAAUGCAUGCAUGCCAUCCUUAACUUGUUUUAAACGUCUUCAAGGUGUGAGACGCUUGUCGUGUCUGUGGCCAUAACAUGACAAAAUGUGAGAAGGCUGGGAAACUGGUUGUGAACAAAGACUAGGAGAGUGUACGUGGAAAAAUGCAGGCUGUGAAGGACAAGCUGCAAGACAUGAACGCUAUGCGCAAGGCCAAGGCCGCAGUAAAGGAAGAAGAGAUGGCUGAAAAAGAUUUAGCAAAAGCCAAAAUGGAGGUUGCACAUAAGGUAAGACUGGCGAAAGAGGCUGAAGCCGCGAUGGAGUUGCAUGCAGUAGCCAGGGCUGGGGAGAAGGCAGAAAGGGAUCGGAGGUAUCCAAGCAUGCCCCCAAGAAUCCAAAUGCCAGCGCCGGUGUCGACUCGACGGACAAGGGUGCUAUGGCAUUUGGAAAUAGUUGCCCUAUUGAUGGAGCUUGCGAGCCUCCUCAUACUAGUGGAUAAAGAGAUAUAUAUAUAUAUACACACACACAAAAAUAGCUCAUUUUUUGUACCAUUGAUCCAAACAUUUCCCGAUUAAUUAUAAAUUAAGUUGUAUUAAACCAACUUUAGACACGCUGUGGAAGGUGAAUGUAAUUUAUUCUUGACUCCUUAUUGAUUUUUUUUUCUUUUAAUAAUAAUUUUUUUAAAAAAAAAAAAAGCUAGGCCAUGACCAUUGAAUGGUCACAU